rnacentral:rRNA from 1 species
AUGAACGCUAGCUACAGGCUUAACACAUGCCAGUCGAGGGGAAACGAUGAGAGAGCUUGCUCUCUUAGUCGUCGACCGGCGCACGGGUGAGUAACGCGUAUCCAACCUGCCUCUGACCAAGGGAUAACCCGUCGAAAGUCGGACUAAUACCUUAUGCAGUCGUCGGAAGUCAUCUGAUGACGACGAAAGAUUUCAUCGGUGAGCGAUGGGGAUGCGUCUGAUUAGCUUGUUGGCGGGGUAACGGCCCACCAAGGCGACGAUCAGUAGGGGUUCUGAGAGGAAGGUCCCCCACAUUGGAACUGAGACACGGUCCAAACUCCUACGGGAGGCAGCAGUGAGGAAUAUUGGUCAAUGGGCGUAAGCCUGAACCAGCCAAGUAGCGUGCAGGAUGACGGCCCUAUGGGUUGUAAACUGCUUUUAUGCGGGGAUAAAGUGAGGGACGUGUCCUUCAUUGCAGGUACCGCAUGAAUAAGGACCGGCUAAUUCCGUG